rnacentral:rRNA from 1 species
UACGUAGGGGGCAAGCGUUGUCCGGAAUCAUUGGGCGUAAAGAGCGUGUAGGCGGUCCGGUAAGUCGGCUGUGAAAGUCCAGGGCUCAACCCUGGGAUGCCGGUCGAUACUGCCGGACUAGAGUUCGGAAGAGGCGAGUGGAAUUCCCGGUGUAGCGGUGAAAUGACGCAGAUAUCGAGAGGAACACCAGUGGCGAAGGCGAGUCCCUGGACAACUCCUGACGCUGAGGCACGAAAGCGUGGGGAGCAAACAGG